rnacentral:rRNA from 1 species
UACAGAGGUCUCAAGCGUUGUCCGGAUUUAUUGGGCGUAAAGAGCGUGUAGGCGGCUUUACAGGUCCGUUGUGAAAACUCGAGGCUCAACCUCGAGACGCCGGUGGAAACCGUAAGGCUAGAGUCCGGAAGAGGAGAGUGGAAUUCCUGGUGUAGCGGUGAAAUGCGCAGAUAUCAGGAGGAACACCCGUGGCGAAAGCGGCUCUCUGGGACGGUACUGACGCUGAGACGCGAAAGCGUGGGGAGCGAACAGG